GACGAACGCUGGCGGCGUGCUUAACACAUGCAAGUCGAACGGAAAGGCCCUGCUUUUGUGGGGUGCUCGAGUGGCGAACGGGUGAGUAACACGUGAGUAACCUGCCCUUGACUUUGGGAUAACUUCAGGAAACUGGGGCUAAUACCGGCUAGGAGCUCCUGCUGCAUGGUGGGGGUUGGAAAGUUUCGGCGGUUGGGGAUGGACUCGCGGCUUAUCAGCUUGUUGGUGGGGUAGUGGCUUACCAAGGCUUUGAGGGGUAGCCGGCCUGCGAGGGUGACCGGCCACAUUGGGACUGGGAUACGGCCCAGACUCCUACGGGAGGCAGCAGUGGGGAAUAUUGCACAAUGGGCGGAAGCCUGAUGCAGCAACGCCGCGUGCGGGAUGACGGCCUGCGGGUUGUAAACCGCUUUCGCCUGUGACGAAGCGUGAGUGACGGUAAUGGGUAAAGAAGCACCGGCUAACUACGUG
rnacentral:rRNA from 1 species